UUUCUGACCUAUCAGCUUUCGACGGUAUGGUAUUGGCUUACCGUGGCAGUGACGGUUAACGGGGGAUUAGGGUUCGAUUCCGGAGAGGGAGCCUGAGAAACGGCUACCACAUCUAAGGAAGGCAGCAGGCGCGCAAAUUACCCAAUUCUAACAGCAUAAGAGAGGUAGUGACAAGAAAUAACAAUACAAGGCAAUUAAAAUGCUUUGUAAUUGGAAUGAUAGAAAUUUAAACACUUUUUAAAGUAUCAAUUGGAGGGCAAGUCUGGUGCCAGCAGCCGCGGUAAUUCCAGCUCCAAUAGCGUAUAUUAAAAUUGUUGCAGUUAAAAAGCUCGUAGUUGAAUUUCUGCUAAAAAUAACCGGUCUGCUUUUAAUAAAAGUGGUAUCUUGGUGUGUUUUUAGCAAUAAUGUCCUUUGAAAUGUUUUUUACUUUAUUGUAAGAAGCAAUAUUCAGGAUUUUUACUUUGAGAAAAUUAGAGUGUUUCAAGCAGGCUUACGUUUUGAAUACUGCAGCAUGGAAUAAUAAAAUAGGAUUUUAGUUCUACUUUAUUGGUUUUAAGAACUGAAUUAAUGAUUGAUAGGGACAGUUGGGGGCAUUUGUAUUUAACUGUCAGAGGUGAAAUUCUUAGAUUUGUUAAAGACAAACUACUGCGAAAGCAUUUGCCAAAGAUGUUUUCAUUAAUCAAGAACGAAAGUUAGGGGAUCGAAGACGAUCAGAUACCGUCGUAGUCUUAACUAUAAACUAUGCCGACUAGAGAUUGGAGGUCGUCAUU
rnacentral:rRNA from 1 species